rnacentral:rRNA from 1 species
UACGGAGGGGGACAAAUGUUGUUCGGAAUCACUGGGCGUAAAGGGAGCGUAGGUCGGGUUUUUAAGUCAGGUGUUUAAGUCCCGGGGCCCAACCCCGGACCGGCACUUGAAACUGGGAAUCUUGAAUAGUGGAGAGGUCAGUGGAAUUGGGGGUGUAGCGGUGGAAUGCGUAGAGAUCCCCAAGAACACCAGUUGCGAAGGCGGCUGACUGGACACAUAUUGACGCUGAGGCUCGAAAGCAUGGGGAGC